rnacentral:rRNA from 1 species
CGGACGUGGGUAACCUGCCUCAUACAGGGGGAUAGCAGCUGGAAACGGCUGAUAAAACCGCAUAAGCGCACAGCAUCGCAUGAUGCAGUGUGAAAAACUCCGGUGGUAUGAGAUGGACCCGCGUCUGAUUAGCUGUUGGUGAGGUAACGGCCCACCAAGGCGACGAUCAGUAGCCGGCCUGAGAGGGUGACCGGCCACAUUGGGACUGAGACACGGCCCAA